ncrna:unclassified sequences L31-Actinobacteria ribosomal protein leader
GCGGUACCGGUUCACGCCCCCUGUGGAGGGCGACCCGGCGACU